rfam:Medicago truncatula strain A17 chromosome 1, whole genome shotgun sequence.
AGCCGUGUGAUGAGCACAUAGCGAACUAUUCUUUCGCCUUUUACUAAAGAAUACCGUGUGUGCGUCACUUAUAACGGCAUACGUUAAUUUUUGAAAGAGCUCUCUUGAUUGAGGGCU